rnacentral:rRNA from 1 species
UACGAAGGGGGCUAGCGUUGCUCGGAAUCACGGGGCGUAAAGCGCACGUAGGCGGAUCUUUAAGUCAGGGGUGAAAUCCUGGAGCUCAACUCCAGAACUGCCUUUGAUACUGGGGAUCUCGAGUCCGGAAGAGGUGAGUGGAACUCCGAGUGUAGAGGUGAAAUUCGUAGAUAUUCGGAAGAACACCAGUGGCGAAGGCGGCUCACUGGUCCGGUACUGACGCUGAGGUGCGAAAGCGUGGGGAGCAAACAGG